GGGGGCAUGGCUCAGUGGAAGACCCUCUGUUUGGCAUGCAGAAGGUCCCUGGUUCAAUCGCCAGCAUCUCCG
rnacentral:tRNA from 1 species